rnacentral:sRNA from 1 species
AUCUUUAAUUAACCCUUUCAUCAAUUUGUUUAAGGAAAAGGAAAUGAUUCUGGAAAGAAAUAAAUUACGCUAUGCAGACAUAUAUGUCAUGGUUUUGAUGGGGGCUCACAACAGCCGUACGAUUCUUGAUGACAAUCGUCUUGUCUCCCAUUAUGCUAAUCUACUGGCCACCGGAAGUGAGCCAUAUUUGGAGAUUGCAAAAAACAGCUCUGAAUUAGAGAGACCACCCAGACCAGUUAACCCUGCACAGUUUGGCAUCACACUAAAGUAAUUUAAAUAUGUCAAACAGAAAUACAAUGUAUAUAUAAUAUGUGGAAUCGAGUUUAUAUAUUUUUAAAGCUUCUAAAAGUAAUAUUAAGUGUUAUACAUUUCUGAAACAUUUUAUGAUGCAGAGUAAUGAUAAUAUAGAGGUCAGCACAAUGGAACAAAUAGACGAGUGGUGUCCUAACUAUUUUUGACUUAUAUAACCAACCUAUUCACAUGCGUAGGCUUACAUCUGACUUAUAUAACCAACCUAUUCACAUGUAGGCUUACAUCUGCAUCGUCUGCAAAAAAAAA